UACGAAGGGGGCUAGCGUUGUUCGGAAUUACUGGGCGUAAAGCGCACGUAGGCGGACUACUAAGUCAGGGGUGAAAUCCCGGGGCUCAACCCCGGAACUGCCUUUGAUACUGAUAGUCUCGAGUCCGGAAGAGGUGAGUGGGAUUCCGAGUGUAGAGGUGAAAUUCGUAGAUAUUCGGAGGAACACCAGUGGCGAAGGCGGCUCACUGGUCCGGUACUGACGCUGAGGCGCGAAAGCGUGGGUAGCAAACAGG
rnacentral:rRNA from 1 species